rnacentral:rRNA from 1 species
AGAUUGAACGCUAGCGGGAUGCUUUACACAUGCAAGUCGAACGGCAGCGCGGACUUCGGUCUGGCGGCGAGUGGCGAACGGGUGAGUAAUAUAUCGGAACGUGCCCAGUAGCGGGGGAUAACUACGCGAAAGCGUGGCUAAUACCGCAUACGCCCUACGGGGGAAAGGGGGGAUCGCAAGACCUCUCACUAUUGGAGCGGCCGAUAUCAGAUUAGCUAGUUGGUGAGGUAAAAGGCUCACCAAGGCGACGAUCUGUAGCUGGUUUGAGAGGACGACAGCCACACUGGGACUGAGACACGGCCCAGACUCCUACGGGAGCAGCAGUGGGAAUUUGGACAAUGGGGAAACCUGAUCAGCCAUCCCGCGUGUGCGAUGAAGGUCCUCGGUUGUAAGUAC